AGAAUUCUGUGAACUGUAGAAUUCUGGAAAGAAUAAGCGUACCUCCAGGCUGCUUACAUCAAUAGCUUACACGUGCUUCCUGAUGCCUGCCUUAACAACAAAAAAUUCGUGUCCAUAGCAAAUAUUUAUUGCAUGCCCACUCUGGGCUAGGCACUGUUUUAGAGGACACCGCAGCUAUCAAGGCAGAUGUGGUCCCUGUUCCCAUGAGGCUCCUACAUUUGAGUGGAGGAAGAUGUACUUGUCUACGUUGGGUGAUGAUUAGUGCCAUGAAGAACAAAACGGAUACAGUGAGUAAUGUGGACAGGGCUAUCUUAGCUAUCACUCUAAUAAGGUGAUAUCUGAGGAGAGAUCUGAAUGAAGUGAGGAUACAAUGGAUAUCCAAGGAAAAGAGCAUUCCAGCAAAGGAAAAAACACAUGCAGAGACCCUGAAGGAGAAGCAGGGUCACUUUGUCAAAGGGACAGCAAGGAAGCCAAUGACCGGGUGAAAUGAGUGAAGAGAGCGUUCAGAGAGGACAGCCAAAAGCUCUGUGGGCCACGGCAGGACUUUGUCCCUUGCUGAGCAAGAUGGGAAGCCACUGAAUGUUUGCGGGCAGGGUAGUGACAUGCUGUGACUUAUGUUUAAAAGGAUUACUCCUUCAUAGCGAUGAAGAAAAGCUCUAUAACAAAAGUUCCGUUGUGGUGGUUAUACAGCAUUGUGAAUGUACUUAAUGCCAAUGAAUUGUGUACUUUAAAAUGGUAAAUUUUAUGUUAUAUAUGUUUUACCACAAUAAAAAUAAUUUUUUUAGAGGAUCA